rnacentral:lncRNA from 1 species
AAUUAUCAUUGUUCUUACAUAUUCCACAAGCUUAUCACCUCAUAUGAAAACCAUAAUAGCUUGUUAUAUGCAUUUGUUGUUUUGUCCACACGAGAAGAUAAAAUAGUGAGAUAAUAUAUUGAUUCUUGCUUGAUCCCAAAAAAAUAAAAUGCCCGCUCUUAUAUACAUCUACCUAACUUUGAUCCGAAAGACAUCGAGAUAAUCGAAACGAUCAAGCUCAGGCUCCAGCGACAUUCUCACAAAUAGGCUUCAGAAUGUCAUCAUACUCAUUAUUGAGUUGCAUGAUAUCACUUUCAACAGUGUCCUUGUACACUUUUUCUUCAAAAAUAAUGUGCUAUAUGGUUAUUGAGCUGAAAAUGUGUAUCUGAAUUAUAAUUACCCCUCCUGUUGCAAUACCUUCUACAUUUGUUUAUACUUGCAAAAUAUAUGUACACAUUGCAGUGUUCUGAGCUCAACAUUUAUCUUCUUGCAACGGUGAGUUGUGAAUUAUUCUACAUCAAAAGUAUGACUUCUGAACCAGAGAGCACGUACUGUAAAUCAAGGAAAAGUGUGUGUACCUUUCACAACCAUCGCCAUGAAUUGCUUGGUACUGAUACAUAUCCUCCCAGCUUCCGUGAUAGUACAAAUAAUCUCAAACUUAACCUGUAUAAAGAGGCACUUUCCAGUCCUGGCACAUACCAUACAUUCAUCGACUUCAGCUGCAAAGUGCCUCAGGCAGUAUUUGAUGCGAUCGAUCAUAAUAUCCUGCAAAACAACUUUCUCAUAUUAAUAGAAGAACUCAAACAAUACUUGUUUUCAACCAGUGUAGUCCUUGCCUCUUGUAUAAAGAAGAGACUGUUGUCGUUGAUAUCUAUGCACUAACUUCUUUCUAGAACAAGCAUAUUCACCGAGUCUGAACCCAUUGUUAAUAACAAAUUAAAAUCCUUGAUGCAAAUCGAGCAAAGAAGACCGCUUCUUCAGACAAAAUUUGAAGUGCUCCUUGUUAGCAAUUUGUUAAUCUGAUGGCAGCUAUUGCACAUAGCUCCUGCGGGGAUAUUCCACCUGAAACUUCCAAACUUAUUUUCUCGCCCAAAAACGCACAUAAUAUAAAAUGAAUCAUACAAAAUUGUACUGAAGGCUACAGACAAACAACAACAAUGGUACUAAAUUGUUUGGAUCAAAGCUAAGACAAGGAUGGGGAGCAGAAGGAGUUUGAUUUGGAUUUCUGCGAGCGAAACUUGGUGUGGGGCGGAUUACCUCUUGCAGCAUGCGAUGGUUGAUGAUGGUAGUGGCCAUGCCGAGCACCUUCAUGGCGAGGGGGGAGCCCUGUCGGCGUUGACCGCGAACUUCACCUUGGCGGCCAACCCCCAUCUCAUACGACCGAACAAGCCGCUUCUUCGCCGCGUCUGCCAUUCCCUUGGAGACCCUCAAAGCUCCCAGUCUCGCGCCAUGCUGUCCCCUUCCUCCAUCCGGUAUGGAGAGCGCGCACGCUCCGCUAUGUUGCGUCGUCGUCGAGCUCUUGCGACAGCCGGCGACGGACACAGAUGAGGUUUUCCGCGGAGCGGAGGAGAGGAGGCCGAGGCGAUGGAGGUGGUUAGGGGACGGAUGCUACGGUCUUAGGUGGCUCACCGAUGGCGACGUGGGGGCGUGCUGGUUGUCAUCUCGUGGACGACGGUGCACAAGUGAACCCUAAUUCAGGAGAGGUCGGGGAAAGGGUGCUGAGCGCUAUCUGUGACGAGGUCGGGACGUUUUUAG